ensembl:lncRNA
GCGCUGCGCUGUUCAGAGCUCGAGACCAUGACGCCCGAGAACAAGUUCCGCUCGGAUCUUGAUCCCUUCGCAGUCCUAAAGUCGGGGUGCCUCAGGGCAGAGUCAUCCAUUCCCACAGACAGCCCCAGGACUCAAAAUCUCAAGUUUCUUAGGGAGAAAUGCUUACAGUACUUUAGAGUCAUGCUAGGAGCCUCAGAUACAUCUGAAACAGGAGAACGUCCGCUGCCACAGAAUAAUUUCACCCCUGAGAAUAGCACUGUCCCAUCAAAUUCUCCUCAGCAUCUCCGCUAUAGGAAACCCCAGGGCUUUUUUAGUGGGACAUCUGGAACUCUCGCUCAGAUGCCUGGAGGAGACAGGUUAGCCCUGGACAGUCAGCUGCUGAAUGACUCGUGCCUUCCGGAACACCAGAAGCUGAGGCAUGUGCUAACCUGGGCUAAGAACUUCACCAGGGGGCAAGAGGUGAGUGCACGAUGCCAUGGUGAGCAGAAUGUUAGCCAAGCCCAGAGAAUGAACGUGGGCACUGAAGAUGGGAAGCUGAAGGACUCUAUCGAAACAAAUCCAAUGAGAGGAUACAAUAAGAAGGAGGAGAACUACAUCAGAACCUGGGAUGAUAAGGAUGGUAAAGACAUAGGAAACAAAAUAUCCAUUUUGGCUGAAGAAUGUCCGGAUAAAAUGCUGGGAAGUGGUUAUGUGGACUUGUCCAACAGCAAACGGAUCACUUUUUCGAAGACUCUCUGUCAGACCCUGCCCAUGACUAGUUCUCCAGUAUCUGCUGUCAGCCACAGACUCGGCUCUCCUGUUGCGCACUGCAGCCGCUUCCAUGUGAGCGAGAAGCAAGACUCUCCCAGAGAUGAAGAGUUUAUCCCGCAUAGGGAUUUGUAUAAGAUGCUGAAUGGAAGUGAAGACCAACCAAGCUUUGCAUCCUGUGACAAAGACAUUUUCUUUCAGUCUGACCUCUCACUGCUGAACCCAAGAAACACUGCUAUCUGCAAAUCAACUGCUUCCUGCAACUGCAACAAAUACGGUGUUUUGUGGCUCUCUAGGUCUGAAGAUGCCACUAGGACACAUAAUGUUACAUGUAUAGAUGAACUGGUACUGCAACCUCAGAGCAGACCUUCAGCAGGAAUGGUCUUUGAAGCAUCUGGCCCCCAAAUUAAUAUGGUCAGCUCUGAGGAAGAUGAAGAAAAGCCAGCAAUUCAGAAUCAUCUGCUGAGCUCUUAUAACAAUUGGCAUUUGCAGCAAGACACUGAGGCACAGGACCUGGCUGUCAUGCCAGGAAGAGUUUUAGGAGAUGUGAUGGCUCUGACUUGGCUGAAGGAGGGUUCCAAUUUUCUCCAUGAAGUCCACACUGACCAGCCUUGGAACCCAUCCCUGCUAACUCACUCUGUCUCCCCACUUGAGAGUGGCCAUACGAAACCUAGCCUCCACAAGGAAGUUAAGGAGGGCUGUUUUCUGCAUGAAAUCCUCAAAUCCACUCAUAUAACCCCCCUGUCAGAUAAAGAGAGCGUUAUAGAUGGACGACACAAAGGUCCUGCCAACUUGAAUAUCAUCAUAGGUGACACAGCAUUACCUUGUAAGCUUCUGGGAUCUACUAUUCAACAAGAGGACCCUACAGACCUGCCUGAGCCACUGGGAUACCAAAUGGGCCAGUAUGGCCUGUUCUGGGGUGAGUCACACCAAAGCUGCUGUGACCAAACCACUGGUGGGGCCUGUUUUUGUUUCAGAGCCUCUGGUCAAAGCACCCAACAAAGCUUUCAAGUCCCACAAGGCUUGAGUGUCUACGAGGAGUACCUUCUCUAUGUGGCUUGUAUUGAAGACCUUAAAUCACAGAAGGCCCACCGGUGUCCUGACCUGACUAUUAUGAGAGAAAGGUGUGAUACUGACAAACGAUGGGAUGGAGAAGACAAGAUUACUGUCAACAAUGCACAGUGUGGAGGAGUCAGUGAUUACUCUAACAGACAGCAACAUGGAGAAGACAGGGUCAUGAUGGACAACGUAGAGUAUUACACUAAUGGUAUUCUGCAAAAUUCUGGAAAUGAUAAUACAGAUGAAAUAUCAAGAGCAGGAAGAAAAAGAAUACAGCAUAAAGAGAACAUGAAUGGAACAGAAGAACUUCAUCAUGGGUCUGCAGCUUCUGGGGUAAACCAUCACCAGUGUCAAGAAGGUGGAGCAGCACAUGUGCGCCCUUCUUUUAGUUCUGAAUUUGUGAGAUGCACAGAAGUGAGUGCAGAUCCCAUACUGCCCAUGGCUGAGCAUCACCCUGGAGGAACCCCAUUUCCUCCGCCCUCCUCCUCUAACUCCCACACAGCUUUUCUGAGGUUGAGGGACAGUGUUACCUCCUCAAAAGACUGUGUGACGAUGGGAACACCAGUAGCCCCGAUGUGCUCACGUCUGGUGGAGAAGCAGGUGGCUCCUGACAGACAAGAGGACAGGAAAAUGGUACGAACACAGAGUGGGUGGAGAGGAAAGAGGCCACAAGCACAGAGGUCUACACAGAAGUGUAGCGAGCGCUCUGCCCAGGCUGGGCCCAGGAGGCACUGGGAGACAUCAAGCCUACGCUGGUCAUCCUGCUCCAACGGGGAAUCGCUGCCAAGGUCCCAGUCUCCUCACAGACCAUCAUCUGCAGCAGCACUGAGGAGCAGAUCCUCCUCCUCAACAGGGGUCAGAUUGUUGAAUACCGCACCUGUGGGCUCGUCCUUACCGAAGGCCACCCAACAGUGCCGGACGGACACAGAAAAUCAGGAAAUAUGUACUCAUCUGGAUGCUGGAUAUUGC